CCGGCCGUUAACCGGCAUCUCUAUCUCCGGCGAUGAUUCUCACCAAAUUCGUUUGCCGGACGUAUUCUCUGCCCUUCUGCUUCCUCUCUCCUCCGCGAUUCUUCCCCAAGACCCAAAUUCUGUUUCAUUUCUCCACUGCUUCCGCCUUCUCAUCGGCCACCGUUGCAGUCCAAUCAACUCCCUGCAAAGCUCUGCAUUAUGGUCCAUCCCUUCACAAAGGGCGAAAGCUCCCUCAAUUUCAAUCUCCAAUUGUUCCUAGCUCACUGGAACUGAAUUCUUCGUUUGAGGAAGAGAGCUUCACUCGAGUCUUCGACAUUGCGGCUUUGCGAGUCCCCUCCGACCUCUGCUCCUCCCUUGAAAGCAGGCUUCGAGGUCACCUCCUCAACUGGCCCCGCAUUCGCAACGUUGCUAGGGUUCCGGGAGAUGAAAUUGAAGACGAGCUCAAGGAAUUUCUCGUGAACCGUUCAAAUUCAGAAGCCGACGGUGAUUCCCUAGUGAAUUUGCAGCGCAGGAUUUAUGGAAAGGCCGAGGGAGACGGGGAGAGAUUAAGUCCGGUGUUGUAUAGAGAUAAGCUCUCCAAAACUUUUAAUUCUAAAGGGUUUGUGAACUUCAGGAAUUUAGCUAAGAUUUCUAGGCCAAAGGAGAGGAAGAAAAGGGGGGAUGAGAAGGAGAGAGAGAAGAAAGGGGUCGGGAAAAACGAGAUGGCUUUGAUUGAGGUAGUUGAAACAGAGGUGACUGGAGAUGAGGAUAUGCGUGGGCUAUUGGGGGAUGAGUUUAAAGGAGGAAAGUGGAGAGGCUCAACUAGGUUGCUACUUUUGGACGAGCACUGUGCCAAUAAGGGGUUCGAUGAAAUGCCUGAAGCAAUCAAGGCAGUGUUUAGAGAACAUAGUGAGACAACAGAAAGACCUGCUCUUGAGAUUGUGAAAUGCAAGUUGACAUUGUUUUACCCUUAUUGGCAGAUGGAUGAGGUCUUAGAAGCUAUACUUCCAGAAGGGAUGAUUGUUCCUUCAUCCUUUGAAACAGUUGGGCAUAUUGCACAUCUGAACCUGAGAGAUGAACAUCUUCCCUAUAAAAAACUUAUUGCCAAGGUAGUUUUAGACAAAAACAAGGCAAGGAUACAAACAGUUGUUAAUAAAAUUGAUGCCAUACACAGUGACUACAGGACAAUGCAGCUUGAAAUUUUGGCUGGAAACCACUCUCUUGUCACAAGAGUGAUUGAAAAUGGAGUUCAUUUUCAUGUUGAUUUAGCAACAGUAUAUUGGAAUUCUAGGUUGGCAACUGAAAGGCAGAGGCUUCUUAGUUCCUUUACACAUGAUGAUGUUGUUUGUGAUGUUUUUGCUGGGGUUGGCCCACUUGCAAUAUCGGCUGCCAAGAAGGUCAAAUAUGUAUAUGCUAAUGAUUUAAACCCUCAAGCUGUUGAGUAUAUGGAAAGAAACUGUGUUCUCAAUAAACUUGAGAGGAAAAUUGAGGUAUAUAACAUGGAUGGAAGGAGGUUCAUUGGCACUAUUUUUUCUAGCCAAAAAACUCGGAUCAUCACACAAGUAGUAAUGAAUUUGCCAAAUGAUGCUGUGGAUUUUCUAGAUGUAUUUAGGGGACUAUUCAGGGAGAACCAUAAGUAUAAGGAUUCUACCUUACCAAGGAUCCAUGUGUAUGGGUUUUCAAAAGCUCAAGAUCCAGAAUUCGACUUUCACGAGCGAAUUAGAAUUGCUUUGUCAGAAGUAGCCUUUGAGGUCGAAAUGCGAAGUGUACGUGCUGUUGCACCUGGAAAGUGGAUGUUGUGCGCAUCAUUUGUCCUCCCUGAGAGAGUGGCAUUUGGAAGAGCAGUGUGAAAUCUGUAAGGUGCAACACCAGAGAUGUAAGUUACAAAAGCCACUCACUCAGGUAAUAUAUAUGAAGAUCAGAUAAUCUGGGCAUGCAUUAUGUAGACACAAGAAGUAACAUACCCCAACACAAGUUAAUUAUCUGUGGACUGAACCAUCAUCACCAGAAAAUUGAAGUUGACAGGGACAACAAGUGUAUACCGUGAACCAAUGAAGAUCAUGCAAACCCAACAACCCUUAAUUGUUCCCUCUUUUCACCUUUGCUUUAUUUUUAUCCUUUUUGACCUUAAAACUUUCAGGACAAUGACAUUUGUUACUGGGACAUUAACUGAGGAGCCCACAGGCUUUUGGAAAUGGAGAAAGGAGGGCAGUAUAUUGACAUGAUUACAAUCCUAAGCUACCUAGCUACUCCAAUGAAUACAUACAUGUAACAUCAUAGCCUGAUUCCCUAGAGCUGCAGGCAAGCACUAAAAUCCUCUUUUACUUUCUUGAAUUCUUUCAAAUUUCAAUACAUGCAUAUAUAUAUGCCCAAUUUUUUUCAUUGAAACAUGGCUAAAUAUAAUGAAUAUUCAUUCAUGUUUGUAAUC